UAAUAUGCUUUCUUUUCUUGGAAAUUAUGAUCAUAUGUAUUAAUAAUUUAAUAAAUAAUUUGUUGGCUGUAGGAUUUUGUUCUAGUUAAUGAGAAUAAGAGGGCCAGUAAAUUGGAUUGGCAAUUCGGAAUAUCAUCUAUUUUGAGCAGAAUGUGUGCUAUAGCUGAGAUAGCAUCUUAUCACUGCCUAGGAGUUUCCCAUGAUUAGUUUCUUGGGAUUUACCAGACAAUCUUGCCACUAAAUCCCUUUUUUUAUUGAGAACUCUUUCGUCUAAUUUCAUCCAUGCAUUUAGAAAUUAUUGCCAGAUCAUUAUAUGCUUUGUGGGCCUACAUCCAUAUUUCUUAAGUCUGACAGUAACACUAAGGUGUUUGCCAAUAAAUGCAGUUUGCUCGUUCAUCUCAGCAACUUAUUACACAAUUUAUAGCUGGUCCUAUAUAGUUGAAUUAGAAUCCAUUGCAUGCUUUAUUUAGAAGAAUAUGAAUAGAUGUUUUGUGUCAUGUCAUAUAAGUUUGUGGAUUGUGUUCAGACCUGGACUGUUUGGAAGUGAAGUUGCAAGGGUGCUUGGUGGCGGCGUCGUUCCAGGUUUGUGCAGAUUCACUUUUUGAUGUUUCUACAUGAUUCCUGCUUUAAGAUAUUCCCUUAUGGAAUGACUUCUUUAGUUUUCUGAUUCUUAAUCAGCUUGAAAUUUUUAGGAAUAGUGCAUUAUAAUAUUGAAAUAGGAACUCUAGGUUUUAGUUUAUGCUAAUUCAUUUUUUUUCUUGUUAUAUUAACAAUCUGAAAUUAUCUCGUUAACAUAUGAAUGGAGGUUCGCAGCUAUGCAAGAAGCAAAAUAAUUCCACACCUGAAAGUUACAAUUCUAGGACAAAAAUUUUAGUCUUCAUUUUACUAAGCGUGCAUUUAUUUUAUUAAAUCUGUACUUUUAUUAAUUUUAGUAAUACAGUAAAAC
rnacentral:lncRNA from 1 species